UCACGUUCGAACACAAACCGCUCUCGCAUUCACUGUUUGCAGCAUGUGUUGUCAAGUGUGUUUAAGAGUUCAUAUUCGCCGCAGAUAGAAAAAUUCUGAUUAAAAAUGUUUCACGGCGUUUUCCACGUUACCAUUCCAUGGCUAGACAAUCUGACCAGUUAGCUUUCCGUUGCUCUAAAGAAGAUAGGUGCCCUAAAAAUUGGUUGUCAGUCCCUUUAAGUGGCACAAUCAAUCAGUGCACAGGCCUUGUUGAGAAAACAAAUGUAUUUGCUCGUUUCAGCAUUCUGCACAUCACAAAAGUGGCUGGCUGUAAACAUCUGCAGCCCCACCGCUGUGGGGCAUCCGUUGUUCUCCAGUGAAACCCUAUUAGACUACUACGUAUGGUCGCUGUCGCUGAACAGCCAUGUGCAUAAAAAUUAAUGUUAAAGAUUUGCUAAAAACUGCACAUAACGAGCUGCUGCCCAACAUCAACGUGCACUAUGUGCCCAAGCAUGCUGCUGUUGUCAAAUUUAACACAAAACAAGGUUUUAAUUCAUGACCUUGAGAAAUAGUUGGAAUGCCUGUUCUGAUUAUGGACUGAAAUGUUGCUAAUCUUGGAAGUUAAUUGUUCUUGGACACCUUGCACACUUGGUUCAGUGAAUAUGCUUGGUCAAUAUGAAAGUUUUGGAGUCUGAACAUGCAGUCUGAAUAAUGUCUUUAAUUAGAGACACCAGAGCAAAUUUUCACAUUGUACUUUUUAUUGGCAUUUCAGGAGCAACACACUAGGAUGACUAAAGGACGUAACACUUCUGGACGGGAAUUACAUGUUCAAGAAUUGUUUUGAAAUGUACAAGGAAGAUAUUGGCAUUCUCCUUGCGCCAUCAGCUGUUCAACAUCUGCGAGCUGCAAAGGCUCUCCUGUAUGACAAGGAAGCAGUAGACGCGGCAUUCGCAAUGCUCAUUUUAUGUGCUUCCAAGGGAUGCGGCCAAAGGACGACCUGCAGAUGUGCGAGUCACGUUUAUGGGAGCUGCAAAAAAGAAUUAAAGUGUAUCCCCAGUG